UAGACGUUUUUAUUUCGCAUUUUGAUUUAUUGUCGUGAAUUAUAAUUGUUUAAACAAUGACGACGGUGAAAAUGUUGACAUAAAGAUAUUAUCUUUAUGUUACGAUCGACAGUGGAUUUCCACGGUUAGGAUUUUCAACGGUUACUUUUAGUGACAAUUUUUUGCACAAAACAUUGUCGUAAUUGCUACUUUGCAUGUUUUAAUUUUGAGGUCUUUUGAAUAUAGAUCGAAGGUUUCUAAUUUUGCUUACACAACGUGCAGUUGCCGAAAAAAAGGAUAGCAACUUUGUCUCUGUGAUGGUGUGAGUCAACGCGACGCGGCAUGCGCGACCGCGCACGGAACCCAAGGAUUGGACAACACGGUGGCGCGAUGCAACACGCCACGCCGCGCUCGCUCCCAGCUAUAGAACUACACGUCCAAAUACACGACCCAAUGUAGUGAUCCGGUCAUUUUGCUCUCGACGAAAACAAAAUAUAAAUACGUUGUCACAGAAUUUUAAAUCAGACUAUAUCAUGAGAAAUCCUUUAUAUUAUUACGAAACAUGUAUGAUGAAAUAAAGAAAAAACUUCACGUUGAAAGCGCAGUUACAUUAUCACAUGUUUUCGCAUAAAUUAUAAUAGUCCUGCGUGUGGUCGGGCUCGGCCAGCACGAAGCCGGGCGCGCCGGCCGCCGCGCGCACCUCGCUCAUCUCGCUCACCA